AACUACAGUCAGCUCAGCCACUAAACUCUGUGUUAAGUCGAGCUAAUUUUCUCCAGGUUAAAGCUUCAUAUUUUCUGUGCAGACAUGAGAGUGAUGAUCUGAUCAUCUAACCCUCAAAAACAAGUAGUAUAGAAGUGAAAAUGCUGCAGUAUCCGAUUAUUACCUUCCAUCUGCAAACAGUGUGUAGCCCCCUGCAUGCCGCUUACCUUCUCUCUGAGCAGCUCCAGUUUUCCUCAUCGGUGAAAUUGAUAAUCAGAAUGUCCAGAAAAAUGAGUUUGUCUUAAAUCUACUGAAGACUAGCUUUGUCCAGCCAAGAGAACCCCCACCCCGCCCCCAUCAUCAGUAUGCCUUCACUGACUGCUGUCCAGCUGGAAAUACAGAAUACUUGAUUUAUAAAAAUGUGCCUCUUGAGGGCAUUUGAAUUUUUCAGUACACUUUAGUGUAUUUAACGAUGCUUCAGAGUGAGGAACUGUGGUGUGGCACGAGAAAAAAAAUAGUUCUUACCUCUCUCCCUCCCUCAUUCUCUCGUACUUGAUUUCCUUUAGGCCUCGCUGUAUUUUCCCACACGGUCCUGAAUCCUAACUGUGGAUCUCUGAAGGCUCUGAUCCUCCAGUCAGAUCCUUUAGCGUCGCAGUUAAUUCAGUCCUGAGAAUACAAAUAAACAAAAGGCCUUACUUCUCGAUCACUGUACAAAGAUGUGAUAGCUGUGUAUGAAAAUGACAUGUAUUACUUGUAAGUUAAGCUUUUUUUUUAUCUGACAUUAAAAAAAAACACAGCAUGGAAUAAUUAAAAAAAAACUCAUUUAUAUAUAGUUAAUAGUUUGUGUAGACUGACAAGAAAAACAAUAUGAUAUGAAAAUCGUUUGUACACAAUGAUGGAGUCAUUGUUAAUGGUAAUAGUUGCUGUUGCUAUGGCAACAAAAUGACAACAUGGCUACCUUUCUAUUAUCCUGAUAGUGAAUUUUUUCACAUUAAUUAAAAUAACAUACAACACUAACUUAUUCAAAAAGGGAAUGUCUAAUUAGUUUGUCUUGUUAUUGCAGCGUGAUUAAAUAUUUUAUAUGGAAAACUUAAAUCCUUGUAAUAUCCAAAGGUCCUUAGGGGAGGUCAGGUGUUUAUUUUGUUUUGUUUAUUUGACCUUAGUUGUCGUUUUUUUUUCUUCUGUUUUGUUUUGUUUUUUUCUUGUACAUGGUGUUUUUGAGAAAUAAGAAUGGACUUUGGCUUUUAAAGCAAACACCUUUCUGUCAGGGAGGUAAAGAGGCUUUUGGACUGACUGAAAGAUCUUUUUCUGUAAAGUCAAACUCGUCUGCAGACCGGACAGCCCGGCUCAGAGCCUUCAUGGGUGAGUUCUGUUUCAGUUUAGGCCCAGAAGGCGGUCCAGAAGCCUCUUCCUGCCCAGCUGUGCUGGGUGAUGUCGAUCCUUGUGGAGGUGUAUACGAAUGUGUGACGUUCACCUUGUUUGCACUUAUGUACAUAACUAUGUCAGAAAUACUCAAAAUUUAUUUUGAAUAAAUACAGAGAAAAGAGCUGAUUAAAAAAUCAAAUCAAUGUAUUGUUAAUGAUAUGUCUAUUGUUUUAUUACAGUGUGAGAUGAUUACUUCUGGGGAUCUGUCCUUUUGUUUGUUUGUUUGUUUGUUUGCUAGAGCCCUGUUCCCUGCCAAGCAUGGCGCCGCCCAGCUGUAAACUACAAAUGAUUUGCUUCAAAAAGCUUUUUUCACUUCAGUUACUGGAUCAGCUUUGGUUCAGUAACAUGUGACCCUGAGAUCAAAGAGGAGAGAUGGAUUAGAAGAAAGAGUUCUAACUUUGUUUGUAAAAGCUCAGCAUGAAUCCACAGCAGCAGCAGACACUUUCCUCUCUCCAGUAAAGCACCAGAAUAAAGCACAGAGAAGCUCCACCUGCAGGCUGAAAAACAGCCAGAAAAUACCAGGAGCAGAUAUAAAAUCAGACCACAGAGGAACAUGGAUGUGUUCACAGGGUUUUAAAUUCACUUUCAUUUCUGUCAUUUUGUGAUUUUAGUUGUUCUAAUUACUUGCUCCCUUAUUGUCAUUAUCCAAAACAACAAUAAAUCUGAAUUCUCCUCAGGAUUUUAGUCAAACAACCUGGUUUUCCAAUGUUACUCUUGCAGCAGCAGCAGCAUCCUUACGCAACUCUGUUCCUGCAGAUUUGGACAUGUGAUGCUUUUCAAUUGCUCUUAAAGCCAGCGAUUUUGUUGCCAUGGCACUUGUCCUAGCGGUGGAUUGACUGAGUCAUCCUGGUGAAUCGGUUCACAGCCCUCUGACUGUUGAAUAUGAACUUCAAAGCGUCCCUGUGCAGAGACGGGUCUGUGAACGACGUGUACCCAAAACUCACCAAAGCUUCUUCGCUAUGACUCACCAGCUCCCGUCAUCACUGCGUACAGAGAAGUACAUGUGGGUGUCCAGUCGCCAAACCACUACAUCAGAUUGUGAUUCAAAAUUGAUGUGUUGCUACCGUUAUUUUCAGCUGUAGUUGUGCCUUUAUUGUGCAAAAUGUACUUUAUGUUCUACAUUUAAUUGACUAAAAACAGCACAUGUACCGAGCGUGUGUAAAACUUAUCCCUUUAUUUAAAAUCCUUUGUCGGUGAGUCUUUAAAUUGUUUUUGUUUUUUUUUUUUUAAAUUGGGUACAAUCACAGACUGAAUGGCAACCGGUGGAAGACGAUGAGGGCCAAAGACUGUUCAGGACUAAGCCAUAUGAAAACUCUCUCGGACACUCUAGGACAGACUUGAACGUGACUGCUGUUUCUUAGUCACCUUUUGUUUCACUCUGUUUUCUGCUUGUGGUGCUUGUAUGUGCUGCUGUGCUACAUGCCAAUUUACUUUGCAGUGUAUAGCUAUUAAGAGUAAGUUACUGUGCCUAUGAUGAGUUCUGCGAUUUCUGUUUGACCUUAAAUAAACCACAUCAUUGUGACACUC
ensembl:lncRNA